AAUAGAUACCCGGGUAGUCCACGCCGUAAACGAUGAGUGCUAAGUGUUAGAGGGUUUCCGCCCUUUAGUGCUGCAGCUAACGCAUUAAGCACUCCGCCUGGGGGAGUACGGUCGCAAGACUGAAACUCAAAGGAAUUGACGGGGGGCCCGCACAAGCGGUGGAGCAUGUGGUUUAAUUCGAAGCAACGCGAAGAACCUUACCAGGUCUUGACAUCCUCUGACAACUCUAGAGAUAGAGCGUUCCCCUUCGGGGGACAGAGUGACAGGUGGUGCAUGGUUGUCGUCAGCUCGUGUCGUGAGAUGUUGGGUUAAGUCCCGCAACGAGCGCAACCCUUGAUCUUAGUUGCCAGCAUUUAGUUGGGCACCCUAAGGUGACUGCCGGUGACAAACCGGAGGAAGGUGGGGAUGACGUCAAAUCAUCAUGCCCCUUAUGACCUGGGCUACACACGUGCUACAAUGGAUGGUACAAAGGGCUGCAAGACCGCGAGGUCAAGCCAAUCCCAUAAAACCAUUCUCAGUUCGGA
rnacentral:rRNA from 1 species